rnacentral:rRNA from 1 species
UUGACUGGGGCGGUCUCCUCCCAAAGAGUAACGGAGGAGCACGAAGGUGGGCUAAUCACGGUUGGACAUCGUGAGGUUAGUGCAAUGGCAUAAGCCCGCUUAACUGCGAGAAUGACGGUUCGAGCAGGUGCGAAAGCAGGUCAUAGUGAUCCGGUGGUUCUGUAUGGAAGGGCCAUCGCUCAACGGAUAAAAGGUACUCCGGGGAUAACAGGCUGAUACCGCCCAAGAGUUCAUAUCGACGGCGGUGUUUGGCACCUCGAUGUCGGCUCAUCACAUCCUGGGGCUGAAGUCGGUCCCAAGGGUAUGGCUGUUCGCCAUUUAAAGUGGUACGCGAGCUGGGUUUAGAACGUCGUGAGACAGUUCGGUCCCUAUCUGCCGUGGGCGUUGGAAGAUUGAAGGGGGCUGCUCCUAGUACGAGAGGACCGGAGUGGACGAACCUCUGGUGUUCGGGUUGUGUCGCCAGACGCAUUGCCCGGUAGCUAAGUUCGGAAUUGAUAAGCGCUGAAAGCAUCUAAGCGCGAAGCGAGCCCUGAGAUGAGUCUUCCCUGAUACUUUAAGUAUCCUAAAGGGUUGUUCGAGACUAGAACGUUGAUAGGCAGGGUGUGUAAGCGUUGUGAGGCGUUGAGCUAACCUGUACUAAUUGCCCGUGAGGCUUAACCAUA